rnacentral:rRNA from 1 species
GAUGAACGCUGGCGGCGUGCCUAAUACAUGCAAGUCGAGCGAACAGAUGAGGAGCUUGCUCCUCUGACGUUAGCGGCGGACGGGUGAGUAACACGUGGAUAACCUACCUAUAAGACUGGGAUAACUUCGGGAAACCGGAGCUAAUACCGGAUAAUAUAUUGAACCGCAUGGUUCAAUAGUGAAAGACGGUUUUGCUGUCACUUAUAGAUGGAUCCGCACCGCAUUAGCUAGUUGGUAAGGUAACGGCUUACCAAGGCGACGAUGCGUAGCCGACCUGAGAGGGUGAUCGGCCACACUGGAACGGAGACACGGUCCAGACUCCUACGGGAGGCAGCAGUAGGGAAUCUUCCGCAAUGGGCGAAAGCCUGACGGAGCAACGCCGCGUGAGUGAUGAAGGUCUUCGGAUCGUAAAACUCUGUUAUUAGGGAAGAACAAAUGUGUAAGUAACUAUGCACGUCUUGACGGUACCUAAUCAGAAAGCCACGGCUAACUACGUG